GGCAUGCAGGUGCCCUGAAACACCGUGUUUUAAAAUUUUGAUUAUUUAAAUAAAAUGCUUAGCUGUAAAGAUAUGGUUUGAUGCUUUGUUGCUUAAUAAUCUUUUUGCUAUAAAAAGUGCUGAGAAAAAUUUCCCAUUCAUUCGUUCAUUUUUUCCAGUCAGUUAAGAGUUCCAGAUAAAGUGAACAAAAAAUAGGAAGGCAGGACAUGAUCAAAAUAAUAAUUCAAGAAAUUUUGGCAGGAUCAAAGAAGGACAGGGGUCUCCAAACUGAAAUGGCUACCAAGUACCUACAGUGAAUGAAAAAAAGUCCUUCAUGUAAGCACAUCAUUAACAAGGUCAAAACCCUUUAGAAGAUUCUAAAGGUUUUCAGAAAGAAGAAACAAAAAUAAACUGAUCAGGAUUAGAAUGACAUUAGAUUUUUCAACAGUAACACUUAUGCUAAGACACAGGGAAGUAAAAUUUCUCCAAACGUCUGAAAGACAGUAACUUCCAACCUAUGAUUCUAUAGUCAGCCAGACUAUCAAGUUUAAAGGCAGAAUAAAAAAUAUUUUCACAUAUACAAGGAUACAAAUGACCUUUCUUUCUUCUAUUUUUCUUUUAAUAAAGGAAGCUACUGAAAGAUGUGGUCCAACAAAACAUGGGACUAAAAUCAAAGAGAAAGACAUGGGAUCCAGAAAACAGGACCAAGAGAAUGUGAAGGGUCGGGAUGUUUUAUUGGACCAUGGAUACUCUGAGAGUAUAGGUCAUGUUGGAUGGUUGCUUGGGGACAGUUCCUGCUGAGAGCUUGGAGAGACUUAGGAGCAAGUUCUCUGAUGACUGUACAAUCACUUCUUCACAACCUUGAACUGAGAGGCUUAUCUGGUAUGAGGGGAGGAGCCUAAAAAGAUUACAUCAUGGGAAUUGUUGAAGUAAAGUACCUUGAGAGUUUGUCACUGCCAUUUUCAAAGGAAAAACUGAAAGGCACAUAUUCUGGAUGUUAUAUCUCUUCAAUUCAUGUGAGAACAUUUGAUUCUACAUUUCUGGAAUUAGGUGUGAUACAUGCCACCUUCUGGCCAUUAUUAAGAACGCACCUAAAAUGAAGAGGGAGGAGCAUGAGAGAGAGCGAAUUGAGCCUGAAAGCAGUGCUUUCUGAAGCCAGAUACCCCAUCCUCACCACCAGAACUACCUGUGGUGCUUGUUCAAUGCAGUUUGCUGGACCCCAGCCCAUACUCAACAUGAUUGGUGUCUCUGGAGGUGGAACGGGAAUCUGGAUUUAUAGCAAGAACUUUGCCCACUAAAGUUGGAGAAGCACAAGCUUAGAGACAUGCAGGAUUUUUCUGCCCCUAAUUAACUAUAUAACUUAGCUCUCUUCUCUUCCUUCCCCUUCUCCAUGCUUCCAUUGCUACCAGUGCCCUCUACUGAAGGGGCUACAGUUGUCCAUGUGUCCUGAUAGUGGGCACCAAAGCUUUUCCUGUCCUGACAGUACAGACGCCAUGGUAAACCCAACUGCCUGACUUAUCUUUUGUAUCAUAAUAAAAAACAAAAAAUAUAUUUUGCAUUUUUAAAACUUAAUUUCUUUAAACUUUGUCAAGCACUUUUGUGUACCUUAUUUUAUUGGUCCUCGAAGUUUACUUUCUAUAGACUCCCUUCAGAGACCAUAAAACUGAGUUUUCUUCAGUUUUAGUAUGCAUGUUUUACAUUCCAUAUGCACAGGA